UUUCAACUGGCCGUUGCAGGUUCAAGGGAAGUGGGUGGAAAACCCACACGGUGCCCGCCACUGUAACCGGCGAUGCAGCGCUUCCGUUCUAAUGGUCACUCGCGCUGGAGAGCGGGGAAGGCCGUGAAGCGAUGCGUUCGAGCCGGGAGUCAGGAAACCUUGCCUGCAUUUGGGCGUGCGA
rnacentral:ncRNA from 2 species